rnacentral:rRNA from 1 species
CCACUGCACUUCGGGAUAAGCUUGGGAAACUGGGUCUAAUACCGGAUAGGAACCAUCUUUAGUGUGGUGGUUGGAAAGUUUUUUCGGUGUAGGAUGAGCUCGCGGCCUAUCAGCUUGUUGGUGGGGUAAUGGCCUACCAAGGCGGCGACGGGUAGCCGGCCUGAGAGGGUGUACGGCCACAUUGGGACUGAGAUACGGCCCAG